UCUCUUGCCUCUGUCGUCUCUCUCGCUGGCUUUUUAAAAAUGAGGAACCGUUCCAUGAACAUUUUGCACACAGCACAGAAUUGCUUCUAAAGUCAGCCCGGCGCGGUUGCAAUAGACAGCAAAAAGGUAAACCGUUUGCCUGAAAUCAGCACGCCAGCUCCACCACCCCGCCCGAUGAUGUGAAGAAGCAGGAAGAGUGAGAAAUAUCCAUUCCAGAAGAGCCAGCUGCCAACUGUAGUGGUUUGAGAAGACAGGCCCAGUUUCUCCUGUGAUCAGAAUGCCUAUGUGUAUGAUUUUAAGCCAGAUCACUCCAAAUACCACUGGUAGACCAAUAAAUUGGAAAUAACUACAGGUUCUAUAGCAGAAUCAAGAAGGUGUGAACACCUACCUGUGGGCUGAGGAUUGGGAGACAUUGUUUCAGGUUCCUGCUGACGCUAGAGUUCUGGAGAUAGACAGCCAUUCAAGGAAAUGAAGGCCAUAGGAAGACUCACUUAAAAAUACAUGCUUGGAAGAAAACUGUUGAAAGUGUCAUCUACCACAUGGGUGUCUCUGUGCCAUCCUUCCCUUCUGUAAACACCAACUAAAGCUGCGACCCUGGGAGUUCCUGAGUACCCCUGACGAACUCACCUGCUGCCCGCUAUGGGAGGAGCUUUUGUGUGGAAGCAGAGGCCACAGGUACCAUAUAUGUUCUUCCUCUGUCUCAUCUUCCCACCAGGAUGUUCUCUGUCGUCGAAAGCCCAAAGAUCACAUCAUGAUGGACAGAUGCCACUGUCACUUCCUUCAUGGUGAUGGACCUAAAGGAGCCCUGUGUCACCCAUGUCUACCUGGAAGAGCUUCUAAUCAGAAUUUUGGCAUCAAUGAGCACGGAGGCUUGGCUUCUUCUAGAACAAUGCCCGCGUAGACUUUAUGUGAAUGUCCAGGCCUCACAUUAGCAGAGCAACGGUGUUCAAUGGAGGAAAGAAGCCGUUUGCAUGAUUUGCGCAAGUCAGAAGGUUUCCAUUUCUUCAUGGUCUAGCUUUCCUCCUUUUCCAGACAAUAAAUGCGACACUGAAGACCAAAGUACUUUUGCUUUCUCCUCUUCCUCCGUCAUCUUCCCACAAACCAGGCAUUAGUGAAGGCUCUUGAAAUGCUGCACAAAGCAGCUGCUUCUCCAGAUCAUCCCUUCGGAGCUCAGGUUCCAUUUCUCCUAGGACUGGUCCUGCUUGCUGGACCUUCUCGCUGUUGACUAACAGUGGACUCAACUGACUUCCGUGGGGAUGAUGGCACGGGAGGCCAGGAGGCUCUUCCCUUCUCUGACUUCAUUCUGUUCAUUCUGCCAGAACUGAUAAGGGGCGUGACGCCAUUGACAGGUGCCGCAUAGGCUUGUGGGAGUGUAUCGCUCCAGCACACCCUUUGGAGAUGGUGCAGAAGGAACAGACUCUCCUCCACGUAGAAGAUGGAGAAAAAUUGAUGGUCUGGUUUCUGUGUGUCCUUCAGUCUCCAUUCUUUAUCAGCUGCUUGGCCACCAUUAUGCUCCUGAUGCAGCUGCUAUCUGCAGACCUCCUGGACAGCCCAAGGAAGGGAGUAGGAGCUCCUGCUGUAGUUGGGUGGAACAGCGACCAGAAGGAUUGAAGGUGGCCAAAAAUAACAGUGCCUUCCAGAUGAGGUGACCUCAGAGCCAAGAGCAUCAUGGGGUAGAGUAUCUUGUUCCUAGUUUUAUGACCUAAAAAGUACACAGAAGAUUCAAAGAUACUACAGAAAGAAGGAAUAAAGUCUGCAGAGAACAAGGAAAUGCAAUUAGUUACCAUUUUUUAAAAAAUUGAGUUCCUUUGUGCACACUCAUACACAAGAAAACAUAGGCCUUUAAUACAAGUAUAAAGAGAGACCCAGAUAGGUAGACAGAUAGAACAAAAUACAAUAGAAGACCAAAAAGGAGAAACAGAUACAGAUAA